rnacentral:rRNA from 1 species
UACGUAGGAGGCGAGCGUUGUCCGGAGUUACUGGGCGUAAAGGGUGCGCAGGCGGCCAUUGAAGUUUGCGGUGAAAUCUCCCGGCUUACCUGGGAGGGUGCCGUGAAAACUGGAUGGCUUGAGGCUCGGGGAGGGGCGUGGAAUUCCGGGUGGAGCGGUGAAAUGCGUAGAGAUCCGGAGGAACACCAAAGGCGAAGGCAGUGUCCUGGGGAGUACCUGACGCUCAGGUGCGAAAGCCAGGGGAGCGAACGGG